rnacentral:rRNA from 1 species
ACGCUCGACACCUACGGGAGGCAGCAGUGGGGAAUAUUGCACAAUGGGGGAAACCCUGAUGCAGCGACGCCGCGUGGAGGAAGAAGGUCUUCGGAUUGUAAACUCCUGUUGUUGGGGAAAAAGAGGAUGGUACCCAACAAGGAAGUGACGGCUAACUACCGUACCAGCAGCCGCGGUAAUCUGAGCGGGCUGGCAAGGC